AGUUCUGCGUUCGUGUGAUCGUCGUGCCGAGUUUUUGUGCGGUCGACUUUUAACGCGCUGCCUCGCAUUGUGUGUAUUGUGUGUUGUAUUUCGUGGUUACUGACGUAAGCGCAACUAUACGCGGUACCAGGCAAAUAGUCACCAGAUGCCGACCGUGCGACUUCAAUCUCUGCGACUGCUUUGUUCGGUGUGACCGACGGACGCGAUUCAUAGUUUUGAAGAACACCUUCUUCAAAUGUUUCCGCACGUCAGUGAGUAGCAGCGCCGCAAUCCUUUGUCGACGACGCGUUCUGUGGCCCUGGAAAAUGCCUUGACGCUCGGGAACGGCCGGUAGCUCGGCGAUUCCUUGCUUGGCGCACCAUUGAAAACCGGCGGUCAUCCAGCAGUGUACGCUGCCAGCGUAUUUUUUAUUGCCAGAGGUAACAAACAGCAGUGCCACAACAAACAGUGGAGUGCUGACCAUGCAGUCCAGAAGGUGUCUGAGGCAAGUAUGCUAUAGGAGGUGCUUAUUCAGGCAGAAGAAAUAAGCAUCUGUAGCCAACGUAAAGGAAGCAUCUUCAAAAAGCAGUGCUACAAGGAUGUGAGCAGCAGUUUCCCUUUAACGAACGGGUCAAAUUCAUGGAAGCCACGUGCCUGCUGCUUCUGGCCUACACAAACAUGCAGCCACCAUAGUAAAGUUCUUGCAAAGACAUUCUACACGAACUUGCCCAAAGGCGGAAGGAAGGCACGCACAGAUGGACGCACAUAAAUCAUGGGGCUGCCGUAGAAGCUGUGAAUGAGCAUUAACCUGUGAGUAUGUGUCUUAAACAUUUUGCUGAAGCCUUUUAUUUUGGCUGAACAUUCUUAUCGAUGCUUUGUAUUCCCUGAUUUGUAGUGCAAUAUUGUUACACCCUGUUGCUUUCACAACAGAGCCCUUUAGUCUGGUACAAGGCCCAAAAAGUUCGACCUAGAUGACCAAAUUGCGGCAGCUAGUUGUUUCCACAAUUAAUGCAUUAGUGUAAAAAACGCAAUAGACGGAGCACAAGGAAAAGGAAGACACAA